GUGCUCGCUUCAGCAGUACAUAUACUAAAAUUGGAAUGAUACAGGGCAUAGCCCCUGUGCAAGGAUGACACACACACACACAAAAAUGAUAUCAUUUGG
rnacentral:snRNA from 1 species